UACGAAGGGGGCGAGCGUUAUUCGGAGUAACUGGGCGUAAAGAGCGUGUAGGUGGCUUGUUAAGUCAGUUGUUAAAUACUAUAGCUUAACUAUAGAAAUGCGAUUGAUACUGGCAGGCUAGGGUAUGGAAGAGAGAAGUGGAAUUCUCGGAGUAGCGGUAAAAUGCGUAGAUCUCGAGAGGAACACCGGUGGCGAAGGCGGCUUCUUGGUCCAUUACCGACACUCGAGCGCGAAGGCGUGGGGAGCAAACAGG
rnacentral:misc_RNA from 1 species